GACGAACCGUGCGAACGUUGUUCGGAAUCACUGGGCUUAAAGGGCGCGUAGGCGGCUCGCGAGGUCGGGGGUGAAAUCCCGCAGCUUAACUGCGGAAGAGCCUUCGAUACCGGCGGGCUAGAGGAAGGUAGGGGUGCGCGGAACUUCUGGUGGAGCGGUGAAAUGCGUUGAUAUCAGAAGGAACGCCGGCGGCGAAAGCGGCGCACUGGACCUUUUCUGACGCUGAGGCG
rnacentral:rRNA from 1 species